GCGGCGGGCGGUGCUGCCGGUAGUGCCGCGGGGCACGGUGCGGGCUCCGUUCGGCGGGAGCCUCCUGCACCCGUGCGCUGGCCUCCUGCACCCGUGCCCCUCCGGAACACGAACGCCGGCCCUUUUCUCUGGGAAAGAAAACUCAACACCCCAGUUCAGUGCAGUGGGAGAGCAGCCUGGGUUUCUGCAGCUAGCCCUGCCAGGACAGCAUCCUGUCAUCCCACCAGCUGGGGAGAACAUUUAAAACAUUGCUGCGUGCAAAACAACUGAUCUUGUUGCAAGUACAUCAGAAGUGAGGCUUUUGGCAUCCCUGAACUGUGAACAGCGACUGUGGGGACUCACAUUAACAUUAUAGAGCUGUGUCCCUCUCCAUAAUUUCACUGUCAAGGGUGGCUCUGCUGACAAGUGGAUACAAAAUGGAGAACAGAGAAAAGACAUGAAACAGGGAAGUGGCAAAGGAACAGGGGAAAAAUAAUGAGGAAGCAAGGCAGACGUUUUUCUGAAACAAUGAGCUGGAGGAAGAAACAAGAGAUUUUCUUAUUA